AUUGCAGAUUGAAGCCUUCUCUCUCUCUCUCUCUCUCUCUCUCUCUCUAUGAGCAAACGAAGUGGUUGCUGGGAAACCCUAGCCGCAUACAGAGAAUAAAGAGUAGGAGAACCAAAGCAAUUGCUGCGGAAACCCCAAGCAUUUUCAGAGACAAAAAAAAAAGUGUGGAAUAGAAUCUCCCAUAAUAAACAGAGACUAGAUCACAUUCUUCAUCACUUUGUUUUCAUCAUUUUAAUGGGUUGAGACUCGAAAGGGCUGAGAGACAUGCCCCCUCAGUCUUCAGGUUGUUUACUUGGAAGUUUUGAUGGCAUGUGUGGAGUCGGAAAAAAAUAAAAUAAGGAAAAGAGAAUCCAGCGUCGUGCUUUCUCAACACAAUAUACAAGGCCAUUGGAUCCUCUUGCCAUUGCAUUUUCGACUAAAGGAGAGGCUAUGUUCUGUGAAGCCAUAGCAGGAGGAACAACUUUUGGGUCACUAAAGCUAAUUGAAAACUUCAGAAUGCAAAGGAAUUUGAAUUUUUGUGGUCCGGCAACUUUGUGCACUGUGCUUAAUGCUCUUCGUGUUGAUCCAGAACGACCUUGGAAAGGUCCGUGGUGCUGGUUUGAGGAUCCCAUGAUCGGGGAUUCGGAGAUCAUGGGUUAUGUCUAGAAAAAAGGAAUCACAUUUGGCAGUUUUGCUGAACUUGCUAGGAAACAUGUCGACAUUGAAGCAUUCAAGGCUCAACAUAGCUCUUUAGAGCAAUUUACAAACUGUGUGAUCCAAACGACUUCAACAAACUGUGUGAUCCAAACGACUUCAACAGAAGAGUUGUAUAUGAUUCUGUCCUACUCUAGGAAGACGGUCAAUCAGACGGGUGAUGGUCAUUUUUCACCAAUGGCUGCAUAUCACAAGGGCGGAGACAUGCUUUUGAUAUUGGAUGUUGCCCGCUACAAGUACACUUUUCAUUGGUUGCCGCGGAUAGGGGUGUGCAUAAUACCGUCGAAACCGCCGAAAUCGCCAAAACCGCACCAAACCGCACCGCCAAGGCAAAUUUGUUAUUAUUUGUCAAUCGAACCGCCGGUUUUUGGUAAGAAAAAUGGCAAAUUCUAGUGAUC